GCCUCGGCCUCCCAAAGUGCUGGGAUUACAGGCGUGAGCCACCACGCCUGGCUGAAAUCACUUUUAAAAUAUAGGGCAAUGUUAGAUAAAGGUGGAGAAUGCUUUAAAACUGCCAAUCAAAUAGAAAACCAAGGUUUGAAGAGGAUAAAUCAUGAGUAAAAACACCCAGCAAUAAAGGCGUCCAUUGUUAGGUUGAUGUUUUCUUAAGGGCUUUAAGAAAAGAUGAAUUCAUUUUUAUUCUCUAAAGAAAAAAAUGGGUUUUACCUGAUUCUUUUUUUACUUUAAGCAGUAGAAGGACAAACAAGGAAAGUCAGUGUAAUGACAAUGAAGAAACCGAAUGUGUACAGGAAGUGUACAGAAAGACUUUUCAAAUUCCAGUGGGCAAUGGAAUUGCAAACCCCUGCCACAGAACCCACUAUUUUCGACUUGAGUUUGUUAUUUCUGGAUCUGCCUACCAGAGUCCAUAUUCCUCACUGAAGGUGGGGUUUAGGUAAUUGGGCAAUAGCCAAAAGUUUGAGGCUAAAGAUUGGUAUCAGAUUUAUACACUAGAAGGCAAUAUAGAGAAUGGCCUUGGAGAUGCGAAAAGAGAGAUCAGAAGA